GAUGAGUUGUGGCUAGGGGAGAAAUUCCAAUCGAACACGGAUAUAGCUGGUUCUCCCCGAAAUAGCUUUAGGGCUAGCGUCGAGGAUGAGUCUUGUGGAGGUAGAGCACUGAAUGUACGAUGGCCCCAUCCCGGGGUACUGAGUAUAAUCAAACUCCGAAUGCCAUGAGAUAUUCCCGGCAGUCAGACCGUGGGUGAUAAGGUCCAUGGUCAAAAGGGAAACAGCCCAGACCGCCAGUUAAGGUCCCAAAAUGUAUGCUAAGUGGAAAAGGAUGUGGGGAUGCACAGACAACUAGGAGGUUGGCUCAGAAGCAGCCAUCCUUCAAAGAGUGCGUAACAGCUCACUAGUCGAGUGACCCUGCGCCGAAAAUGUACCGGGGCUAAGCAUACUACCGAAGCUGCGGAUUUGUAGUAAUACAAGUGGUAGGGGAGCGUUCCAUGCACGUGGAAGCCAUACCGUAAGGAGUGGUGGAGAGCAUGGAAGUGAGAAUGCCGGUGUGAGUAGCGAGAUGCAGGUGAGAAUCCUGCACACCGAUAGCCCAAGGAUUCCAGGGGAAGGUUCGUCCGCCCUGGGUAAGUCGGGACCUAAGGCGAGGCCGAAAGGCGUAGUCGAUGGAAAACAGGCAGAUAUUCCUGUACCCGCGAUGGAAAUGAAGGAAUGACGGAGAAGGCUAGCAUGAGCCACUUAUUGGAUUGUGGUCGAAGCGAAUAGCAGGUGCACAGUAAAAUGCGUGCACGGGAUGUAAAACGUGACAGGUAAGCGAAACCCCUGGGGAGUAGCGAAGCAUGCGAGGCCAGCUUCCAGGAAAAGUUUCUAGUGCUAAUUCCAUAGCGGCCCGUACCAAAACCGACACAGGUGGGCAAGGAGAGUAUCCUGAGGUGAGCGAGAGAACUGUUGCCAAGGAACUCGGCAAAAUGACUCCGUAAGUUAGCGAGAAGGAGUGCUUAUGAAAGUAAGCCGCAGUGAAGAGGCCCAAGCGACUGUUUAACUAAAACACAGCUCUCUGCGAAGUCGCAAGACGAAGUAUAGGGGGUGACGCCUGCCCGGUGCUGGAAGGUUAAGAGGAUUUGUCAGUUUCGACGAAGCAAUGAAUUGAAGCCCCAGUGAACGGCGGCCGUAACUAUAACGGUCCUAAGGUAGCGAAAUUCCUUGUCAGGUAAGUUCUGACCCGCACGAAAGGCGUAACGAUUUGGGCGCUGUCUCGGCAGCAGACUCGGUGAAAUCUUAGUACCUGUGAAAAUGCAGGUUACCCGCAACUAGACGGAAAGACCCCAUGGAGCUUUACUGCAGCCUGAUAUUGGAUUUUGAUCAGAGAUGUACAGGAUAGGUGGGAGACGAAGAAGGAUGCACGCCAGUGUAUCUGGAGUCGACGUUGGGAUACCACUCUUGUCUGAUUGGAGUUCUAACCUGCGUCCAUGAAGCUGGACGGGGGACCGUGUCAGGCAGGCAGUUUGACUGGGGCGGUCGCCUCCCAAAGAGUAACGGAGGCGCCCAAAGGUACGCUCAGAUUGGACGGAAAUCAAUCGGCGAGUGCAAAUGCAGAAGCGUGCUUGACUGUGAGACAAACAGGUCGAACAGGGACGAAAGUCGGGAUUAGUGAUCCGGCGGUGCCGAAUGGAAGGGCCGUCGCUCAACGGAUAAAAGCUACCCUGGGGAUAACAGGCUGAUCUCCCCCAAGAGUUCACAUCGACGGGGAGGUUUGGCACCUCGAUGUCGGCUCAUCGCAUCCUGGGGCUGUAUUCGGUCCCAAGGGUUUGGCUGUUCGCCAAUUAAAGCGGUACGCGAGCUGGGUUCAGAACGUCGUGAGACAGUUCGGUCCCUAUCUGUCGUGGGCGCAGGAAGUUUGAGAAGAGCUGCCCUCAGUACGAGAGGACCGGGGUGGACGGACCGAUGGUGCACCAGUUGUCACGCCAGUGGCACAGCUGGGUAGCUAAAUAUGGAAGGGAUAAACGCUGAAGGCAUCUAAGUGUGAAACCCACUUCAAGAUGAGACUUCCCAUUACGCAAGUAGGUAAGACCCCUUAAAGACGAUAAGGUUGA
rnacentral:rRNA from 1 species